UGGGAGUUUUGAUACAUGACACAAAGCUGUUAUUGAUGUGUUCAUCACUAAACUCCCUAAAUGAACACAGCUCUCUGAUGACUGUAUUUUGCUCAAGAAACAGCCAUACAGACAGAUACGGAGCUUACAGAU